GAUGACGCUGGCGGCAGGCCUAACACAUGCAAGUCGAACGAGUGGCGGACGGGUGAGUAAUGUCUGGGAAACUGCCUGAUGGGGGGGGAUAACUACUGGAAACGGUAGCUAAUACCGCAUACCAUCGGAUGUGCCCAGAUGGUAUUAGCUAGUCGGUGGGGUAACGGCUCACCUAGGCGACGAUCCCUAGCUGGUCUGAGAGUAUGACCAGCCACACUGGAACUGAGACAAGGUCCAGACUCCUACGGGAGGCAGCAGUGGGGAAUAUGGAACAAUGGGCGCAAGCCUGAUGCAGCCAUGCCGCGUGGAUGAAGAAGGCCUUCGGGUUGUAAAGUACUUUCAGCGGGGAGGCGUUACCCGCAGAAGAAGCACCGGCUAACUCCGUGCCAGCCGCCGCGGUAAUAC
rnacentral:rRNA from 1 species